CCUACGGGGGGCAGCAGUGGGGAAUAUUGCACAAUGGAGGGAACUCUGAUGCAGCGACGCCGCGUGAGCGAUGAAGGUCUUCGGAUCGUAAAGCUCUGUCCUAAGGGACGAUAAUGACGGUACCUUAGGAGGAAGCCCCGGCUAACUACGUGCCAGCAGCCGCGGUAAUACGUAGGGGGCAAGCGUUGUCCGGAAUUACUGGGCGUAAAGGGUACGCAGGCGGCUUUGUAAGUCAGAUGUGAAAGACUAUGGCUUAACUGUGGUAAGCAUUUGAAACUACAGAGCUUGAGUACAGGAUGGGAGAGUGGAAUUCCUAGUGUAGCGGUGAAAUGCGUAGAUAUUAGGAGGAAUACCAGUGGCGAAGGCGACUCUCUGGACUGUAACUGACGCUGAGGUACGAAAGCAUGGGGAGCAAACAGGAUUAGAUACCCCAGUAGUC
rnacentral:rRNA from 1 species